rnacentral:lncRNA from 1 species
CGCGAGAGAGCGCUCUCCCAUUUCCACACCUUAUCUUGCUUUAGCUUUGCCUUAGAGAAUGAAUUCCCUGGAGCCCCUCGACCAGGGAAUUUCCAAAAAGUAUAAAAGAACUUAAGGACCACUUAGCGUGGCUUAUCUUUUUUUACGUAUUUUUCAUGCCUGUAGUAACUGAUCUGUUUAUGUUAGCGCUGCGCGACCGUAUCAGCGAAAACUAACGGUGGAGGGAGG